GCCAGGCAUGGUGGCCUGUGCCUGUAAUCCCAGCUACUCGGGAGGCUGAGGUAGGAGGAUCGCUUGAGCUCUGGAGGUGGAGAUUGCAGUGCACCAAGAUCAUGUCACUGCACUCCGCCUGGGCACCAGAGCGAGACUCUGUCUCAA
rfam:Gorilla gorilla gorilla genomic chromosome, chr3, whole genome shotgun sequence